UACGUAGGGUGCAAGCAUUAAUCGGAUUUAUUGGGCGUAAAGGGCGCGUAGGCGGCGAAUUAAGUCAGGCGUUAAAUAACUGGGCUCAACCCAGGAAGUGCGCUUGAAACUAAUUGGCUCGAGGAUAGACGGGGAGAGUAGAAUUCCAAGUGUAGCGGUGAAAUGCGUAGAUAUUUGGAAGAAUACCGGUGGCGAAGGCGGCUCUCUAGUUUAGACCUGACGCUGAGGCGCGAAAGCAAGGGGAUCAAACAGG
rnacentral:misc_RNA from 1 species